UAUUGAAGUUCCCCGCGAGAACUUGCCCCGCGCGUGAAUAGGCGCGGUGGAGAGUGUUGGUCAUAUGUGGGGGUCGUUGAUUAAAACUGGUGAAGUGAAAUAUUAGUUGAUGUUGAGGAACCCAGUGACUAGCUAAUCAAGUGUUUGAAGACUAGGGUGUAAUGUCCCGGGCAGUGACGGUGGCUGUAUCACCGAACUUGAAAGACACCCGAAUUUGAGGCUGAGAAAUCAGCAACAACUGCAGCCACAGGUGGCUGGAAGACUUGUGUAGUGAAUUGGUGUGGACAAGAUGGCUCAAAAUGCAUUCAUGCAUCCGCGUAACAUAUACCGAACCCCUCCAGACUUCAAAGCUCUGGUAGAUGACUUUCCGGACAUCAGGAAACACGUAACCACGGAUGUGUCGGG
rnacentral:lncRNA from 1 species